AGUUACAUAGCAAACAGAUUCGGAUGCACGGUUUUUUACCACAACAAAACUCUAUGAUAUCAUGUUUGUUAAUGCAAAUCCACCCGAUAAGAGGGCAGAAGUAUUCUUUGAAACAAUGUCGUUGGAGCUGUUACAUUAUGACCAUACUUCAAUAUCGAGAGUCGAUCUUUAUUAUGCAAUAACAUUCGAUGUGAAGAGAGGCCGAAUACUAGUUUUUGAUAGUACAAACGUGUCAAAGGAAGAUUGUCGCAUGGAAAAUUAUGGUGUUGUUAUCGAUGGCCUGG